ensembl:lncRNA novel transcript
AGACAUUGAGUAGAGAGGAACUGAUGGCUGCUGUGCCCGGCAAGAAAGCAGGGACAGCGACUCUCCCAUGUCCUCUCUUCUGCAGGUUCAGGGAGGCCGCCUGGCCAGCAGGGAGGCUGGAGCAGGCAGGCACCACUUCUGGUGACCUCGGCAAGCUCCCGGACCCCUGAGCCUUGGUCUCCUGCUUGCAGAGCGAGGACAGGAAGUGCACCCAUUUUGAAGGAUAUCACGAGGACUAGGUGAAAAAACACUUCCACGGUGCCGGUGCUUGGUCAGCGCUCAAGAAACUUUUUUCAAAAAGUAGGUGUUUUUGCCUCUGUUUGAGGAGUAGACUGAGGCUUAGAGAGGGAAAGCACCUGGUUCAAGAGGCUUCAAAAGAAGCAAAAAGGAGGUAGCGGAAGAGGCCCUUCCAAGGAGGACAAUGGGAAGAUCAGCUCUUGUUGGUCACCAGCCACGUCUCAGCAGACCUGCCAGACGCAGAUUCCAGCAUCUGCAGAGCCCGUCCUGGGCAUGGUUGCUGAGCCAGGUACCUGAAGGGCCCUGUCCAGUGUCACUGGCACCGCUCUGUACAGAAGGAACCUGCUGAUGUGCCGUGGGACCUGUGUUCUCUCGAACUCUGCUGGGGACCCUGCUGCUGGCCAGCCCUCCCUCUUCCUGGCCUCUCCAACAGCAAAGCAAAUGAUUGCCACGUGUCCUUUCCCACAGCUACACGUGGCCCCCGUUCAGCCCAGCCCUGGGCCCGGCUAUGCAAGCACACGGAGGCUCUUGGCCAGGCCAGUACAGGCAGGGGCACCCACACAGCUCCACAUGCUGACCUUUGCAUGUCUUCCCGUCCGGCUGCAGUGUGAAUCCAACGGGGCAGCUGCAUCGCACGCCAGUGGCUGUGUCCUUGCAUGUCCGGUCGCAGCCUCCGUUAUUGACUGCGCACGUCUCUGGGGAGGGAAAGAGACAGAGACCUCAGUUUCCUUGGACAGAAGCCACUGGCUUU